UGGGACCAUGGGCCUGUAGGAGGUUCACAAA
rnacentral:piRNA from 1 species